AACCGGGGCUAAUACCGGAUAACAUUUUGAACCGCAUGGUUCGAAAUUGAAAGGCGGCUUCGGCUGUCACUUAUGGAUGGACCCGCGUCGCAUUAGCUAGUUGGUGAGGUAACGGCUCACCAAGGCAACGAUGCGUAGCCGACCUGAGAGGGUGAUCGGCCACACUGGGACUGAGACACGGCCCAGACUCCUACGGGAGGCAGCAGUAGGGAAUCUUCCGCAAUGGACGAAAGUCUGACGGAGCAACGCCGCGUGAGUGAUGAAGGCUUUCGGGUCGUAAAACUCUGUUGUUAGGGAAGAACAAGUGCUAGUUUAUUAUUCUGGCACCUUGACGGUACCUAACCAGAAAGCCACGGCUAACUACGUGCCAGCAGCCGCGGUAAUACGUAGGUGGCAAGCGUUAUCCGGAAUUAUUGGGCGUAAAGCGCGCGC
rnacentral:rRNA from 1 species